AGUGUCAUAAUUGUGACGUUGUUGCUGGCGUCGUCAUUGUUGUCGAUACUAGUAGUAGUGGUGGGUUCUCUAUUUCAGUGUCUAUUACAAAUAAUACUAUAACUAUUUGAGAUCAUGUAGGUAGUAAAAACACUGCAGCUGCUGAUAGUAUCUACACUACGUAGUAGUAGCAGUAGUAGUAGUAACUUUCACUUUUCUGGAAGUUCAGUGUCUGGCAAUAAUAGGAACCACACAACGUUUAUAACCGGCCGCGAUUUAGAGAAACACGGAUCUAAAUUACAUUUCAAGGAGAUGCCAAAAUUAAUUCCAUUUGCUGAACAGAAGUUUCACAAAUUACGUAAUGAGUGUCGGAAGAAAUCUAUAUUAUUUACUGAUCCGAAGUUCCCAGCAAACAACUCUGCAAUCUUCUUUAGCAGAAGUCCUCCAAGUGGCAUUAUAUGGAAGAGACCAGGAGAUAUUGCAGAGGACCCCAAGUUCUUUUUAGACUCAGCAAGUGCUGAAGAUUUUGCACAAGGCAGUUUAGGAAACUGUUGGUUUGUUGCAGCUUGUGCUUCUGUGGCUGAGAACCCUGAUCUAUGGAAAAAGGUUGUUCCAGAUUAUGAAGAACAGGAAUGGAGUCCUAAGAAUAAAUAUGCAGGAAUUUUCCACUUCAAGUUCUGGCAGAUGGGUGACUGGGUUGAUGUUGUUGUUGAUGAUCUUUUACCAACAAUUAAUGGAAAACUUAUUUUCGCUCAUUCAACUUCAAAGAAUGAAUUUUGGAGUGCUUUACUUGAGAAAGCAUAUGCAAAAUUGUUUGGAUCUUAUGAAGCCCUAACAGGAGGGAAAUCUCGUGAUGCUAUGGUUGAUAUGACUGGAGGUGUGGGAGAAAGUGUAAGAUUAAGUGAAUACAGAAGCCAAGAGAAGAAAGCAGAACUAUUUAAAUCUUUGCUCUAUGCCUACGAGAACAAGGCUUUGAUGAGUGCAUCAAUAAUGGCAGUGACGCAAAGAGAAAGGGAGGCUCAAAAUGAAGAAGGUCUUGUGAAAGGACAUGCCUAUAGCAUCACUGCUGUUAAAAAAUUGAUAAUUGGCACAUCUCUUUUAGCUUAUUUUAAACGUGAAAAAGUCUACAUGGUUCGAUGUCGAAAUCCUUGGGGUGGAGUUGAAUGGAAAGGUGCAUGGAGCGAUGGGUCACCUGAAUGGCAAAAUGUCAGUGAAAGUACAAAGAAAGAACUUGGAUUAACUUUGGAUCACAAUGAUGGAGAAUUCUGGAUGGCGUUUGAUGAUUUUUGUCAAUUCUAUACUGACAUUGAUAUUUGUCAUAUUGUGAACACCAAGAGGUUGACCUGGAAAAUGACAUGGAAAGAAUUUAUCUAUAAAGGAGAAUGGAAACCACCUAACAGAUGGGGAGGAUGUGGAAAUAAUGAAAAUUUCUUAGACAAUCCUCAGUAUCUAUUCUGUAUACAUGACACCCAAGAAUUACUGCUGUCUUUGGAACAAUCGGAAAAACGGUCAAGUAAGAAGAAAGGUAAAGAAAACGACGUGAUUGGCUUCACAGUUUUUCGGGCCGGCAUCAAUCAGAAAUAUAGAAUUCACAACAAACUCUACGAUAGAAUCCAUUCAGGCCCUUUUUCUAAUGCUCGAGGAGUAUUUGCAAGAGUUGCCUUUAAAAAAGGGGUUUACUGUAUCAUCCCAUCGACUUUUGAAUCAAAAAUACGUGGGGAAUUCAUAUUACGUAUUUAUGCUACUUCAAACAUAAAGUUGAGAGAACUUAUAAAAGAUGGUCCUAAAGCUACGCGCUUUUUCAGAGCACCCUAUUUAGCAGCUACAGCAGUCAAUAUUUUUCGCGGAGAACAGCUUUUUACUGAUACCAGUCAACCAACAAGGAUAAUCACCAGCACCGCCGCCGUCGCCACCACGAGCACCAAUAAAAACCAAUAAAAGCAGCAACAAUAAAAACAACUGACCCAGUAUCACCCACUCCUUAAUUCAACCCACAGUUGAUGACCGGGUCAGCAGCUAAUUCUAUGACAACAAUUACAGCUACAACAAACAUUUUGACCAGCUCUAAUUUACCCACAUUUUCAUAUCACUAACUACCAAAUCAAAAGAAAUUCAAUUUAUUGCAUCUUUAGCAACUUUAGAUAUUGCUUAUGAGAAAAAAGAAGGUGGCAACAAGAUAAAGUAUACUGUAUAAUACGGUGUGAGAAAAAGAAGCAGAAAAUUCCCAGCGUUAAGGGAAGUGAAGAAUUCAAUUGGAAUACUCGAGCAACAUUCUUUAGAAAGAAGCCU
rnacentral:misc_RNA from 1 species